rnacentral:rRNA from 1 species
UGACNGCCUUCGGGUUGUAACCNCUUUCAGCAGGGACGAAGCGCAAGUGACGGUACCUGCAGAAGAAGCACCGGCUAACUACGUGCCAGCAGCCGCGGUAAUACGUAGGGUGCAAGCGUUGUCCGGAAUUACUGGGCGUAAAGAGUUCGUAGGCGGUUUGUCGCGUCGUUUGUGAAAACCAGCAGCUCAACUGCUGGCUUGCAGGCGAUACGGGCAGACUUGAGUACUGCAGGGGAGACUGGAAUUCCUGGUGUAGCGGUGAAAUGCGCAGAUAUCAGGNAGGAACACCGGUGGCCNAAGGCGGGUCUCUGGGGCCAGUAACUGACGCUGANGGAACGAAAGCGUGGGUACCGACAANGGAUUANAUCCUGGUAGUCCACGCCGUAAACGGUGGGCGCUAGGUGUGGGUUCCUUCC